CAGUAGCCGCGGGAAAACGGAGGGUGCAAGCGUUAAUCGGAAUUACUGGGCAUAAAGCGUACGCAGGCGGUUUGUUAAGUCAGAUGUGAAAUCCCCGAGCUUAACUUGGGAACUGCAUUUGAAACUGGCAAGCUAGAGUCUUGUAGAGGGGGGUAGAAUUCCAGGUGUAGCGGUGAGAUGCGUAGAGAUCUGGAGGAAUACCGGUGGCGAAGGCGGCCCCCUGGACAAAGACUGACGCUCAGGUGCGAAAGCGUGGGGAGCAAACAGGAUUAGAGACCCCGGUAGUCCCUGUCUCUUAUCC
rnacentral:rRNA from 1 species